rnacentral:rRNA from 1 species
CCUACGGGAGGCAGCAGUGAGGAAUAUUGGUCAAUGGGCGGGAGCCUGAACCAGCCAAGCCGCGUGAAGGAAGAAGGCGCCAGGCGUCGUAAACUUCUUUUGUCGGGGAACAAAGGGCGCCACGCGUGGCGUUGUGAGUGUACCCGAACAAAAAGCAUCGGCUAACUCCGUGCCAGCAGCCGCGGUAAUACGGAGGAUGCGUGCGUUAUCCGGAUUUGUUGGGUUUAAAGGAGGCGUAGGCGAUCCGGAAAGUCAGCGGGAAAAGCCCGGGGCUCAACCCCGGCGAGCGGUUGAAACUGGCGGACUAGAGACGGCGAGAAGUACGCGGAAUGCGCGGUGUAGCGGUGAAAUGCAUAGAUAUCGCGCAGAACUCCGAUUGCGAAGGCAGCGUACCGGCGCCGGACUGACGCUGAGGCACGAAAGCGUGGGUAUCGAACAGGAUUAGAUACCCCAGUAGUC